rnacentral:rRNA from 1 species
UGGGGAAUUUUGGACAAUGGGCGCAAGCCUGAUCCAGCCAUGCCGCGUGCGGGAAGAAGGCCUUCGGGUUGUAAAGCACUUUCAGCGAGGAGGAAGGCAUCACACUUAAUACGUGCGGUGAUUGACGUUACUCGCAGAAGAAGCACCGGCUAACUCCGUGCCAGCAGCCGCGGUAAUACGGAGGGUGCAAGCGUUAAUCGGAAUUAUUGGGCGUAAAGCGUGCGCAGGCGGUUUUGUAAGUCAGAUGUGAAAUCCCCGGGCUCAACCUGGGAACUGCAUUUGAGACUGCAAGGCUAGAGUGUGGCAGAGGGGGGUAGAAUUCCACGUGUAGCAGUGAGAUGAGUAGUGAUGUGGAGGAAUACCGAUGGCGAAGGCAGCCCCCUGGGCAAAUACUGACGCUUAUGCACGAAAGCGUGGGGAGCAAACA